rnacentral:rRNA from 1 species
GACAGAGGAUGCAAGCGUUAUCCGGAAUGAUUGGGCGUAAAGCGUCUGUAGGUGGCUUUUUAAGUCUGCCGUCAAAUCCCAGGGCUUAACCCUGGACAGGCGGUGGAAACUACCAAGCUGGAGUACGGUAGAGGGAAGUGGAAUUUCCGGUGUAGCGGUGAAAUGCGUAGAUAUCGGAAGGAACAUCAGUGGCGAAAGCGACUUCCUGGACCAGUACCGACGUUCAGGCACGAAAGCGUGGGGAGCAAACAGG